GGAUGAUAAAUGUACAAAACGCACGAUUUUAUCUUUUGUCGCUAGGCUAUUUGACGUUUUAGGUCUUGUGUCACCAGUUAUUUUGUACGCAAAAUUACUUAUUAAAGAACUUUGGAUAAAUAAAGUUGACUGGGAUGACACACCUUGCGAAAAUGUAACUAGAAAAUAUCUAGCAUUAACGAAAGAAUUCUCUCUCUUAUCAGAUUCUUUACAAAUACCGCGUCAUACUGGCAUUAAAGAGGGAAGCAAAGUAAAUAUUGUAGCUUUUUGUGAUGCAAGCCUUAACGGAUAUGGAUGUGUGGUAUACUUACACAUUACAGAUUCACAUAACAAUAUUAUUGUAAAUUUAUUAUGUUCUAAAUCGAAAGUAUCCCCACUGAAAAUAACUACACUUGCCCGGUUAGAGUUAUGCGCCGCUCUUUUAAUGUCGAAAUUAGUUAAAAUCGUAAAGGAAACUUAUUCUACUCGCAUUAAUAUUGAAGAAAUUUACGCAUUUUCCGAUUCAACCAUCGCUUUGUCGUGGAUAAAAUCCUCUCCGCAUAGGUGGAAUACAUUUGUAAGUAAUCGUGUUUCUCAAUGCCAAGAAAAUUUGGAUCCACAACAUUUUUACCACGUAGCAGGAAUUGAGAAUCCUAGUGAUUGUUUAUCACGUGGUAUGUUACCAGCUCAAUUAAUAUCGCAUUCACUUUGGUGGAAUGGUCCAGAGUGGCUUAAUAGACCACCUUCUGAAUGGCCCAAAAGUCAUUUUUUUCCCGCGACAUAUGAAACGCUGCCUGAGUUUAAAAGUAAUACUCUAGUAAUAACUAACGUUCAAUGCGAACAAUCUAUAUUAUAUAAUUUAACGCAACGCUUUUCCUCUUGGAAUAAAUUAAUACGCACUGUUUUAUAUGUUUAUCGCUUCGCUAGACUUUUGCCUGACACUGGAGAAGUCAAUAAAAUAUUUUUUGUUGAAAACGCUUUAAUAAAAGAAAUUCAACGCGUUCAUUUCGCUGAUGAAAUAACCCGCUUAAAAAAUAAACAAUUACCAUCAAAAAAAUUACAGAAGUUGUCUGUUUUUCUCGAUGAUAAGGGAAUUGUACGUAUAGGAGGGAGGCUUUCGAAUGCAGAUUUACCCUACGAAGCCAAACAUCCGGCCUUGCUUCCUAAACAUGAUCACGCAGUUGACCUAAUAAUUGAUAAUUAUCAUUUAAAGAACUGUCAUACCGGAGCAGGUCUUUUAAUGUCGAUCAUACGACAAAGAUUUUGGAUUCUUGACGCUAGGACGGUUAUUAGGUCUAGAAUUCAUAAAUGCAAUAUUUGCUUUAGGACAAAACCUUCGCAUCCUUCUCCAAUCAUGGCUGACCUUCCGUCUUAUCGCCUCCAGGAAGCAAAGGCCUUCCUUUUUACAGGAAUCGAUCACGCAGGUCCGAUUCGCAUAACCCUCACUCGCAGACGUGGAUAUCAGUCACAGAAAGCGUAUAUAUGUUUAUUCGUGUGCUUAGUGACAAAGGCAAUACACAUAGAGCUCGCGUCAGAUUUAACAUCAGAUAACAUGAUAUCCUGUUUAAAUAGAUUCUUGAGUAGACGCGGUCCAGUAAAUACCAUCUGGACUGACAUGUCCGGGACGUUUAUUGGAGCAAAGGCUCAAUUAGAUGAAAUAUAUUCUCUUUUACUUAGCUCAGACUAUAAAAAUAAAUUUGGUUUAGAACUACAAAAAAAACGAAUAGAAUGGAAAACCAUUCCGCCGCGUUCUCCACAUUUCGGUGGAAUAUGGGAAUCAAAUAUAAAAUGCGUAAAAGCUCACCUUUAUAGAGUCAUUGGCAAGCAACUCCUUACUUAUGAGGAAUUAUCUACUGUACUCACACAAAUUGAGUGCAUCCUCAACUCGCGCCCGCUAGGUUUAACAACAUCUGACCACCAGCCCGAUAUUAUUACACCAGCGCAUUUUCUAAUGACCACGCCUUUAGAAUACUUUCCAACGACAACCUUUAACCCUGAAAGGCCUAAUUUAAAGAAUCGAAAACAGUUACUCGAUAGCCUCGUUAUGUCAUAUUGGAAGAAAUGGCGUUUGGAUUAUCUGCACACUUUGCAAGUCAAAGGCAAAUGGUGUACACCGGACAAUCCAAUCACCGUAGGUAUGGUUGUGUUAGUUGAAUUUGAUGAUGUACCACCUUUGCAGUGGCCUCUUGGUUUGAUAACCAAAACGUUCCCUGGAAAGGAUGGUGUAGUACGGGUCGCUUUAGUUAACACUAAAAUGGGUGAAUAUAAACGCCCAGUUGUAAAACUCUAUCCACUUCCCACGCAAUAAUAGUUACGCAAAUAAAUAUAUUCUCUGUUGUUAAUAAUUAAUAUAAGUAUUUUUCUCUUUAUAAAAUAAUUUAAUGUUUAGUAUUUCUUUAUAAUCUUUAAUAUGACACUUCGUGAAGGCGGGGUGUAUACUUGAGCCGGUACAAGUAGGUAUAUACCUACUUGUUGUCAUUUCAUGAAAAUAUAAAAACGCGCUGUAGAGUUGGAUGACACCUAUGGCUUAUCAUGUAAGGUGCAAUUUUGCGUGGCUAACAACGGCCACCAAUCAAAUGAUUGAUGCUUCAAAAUGACCAAAUAAGGUCAUAAAACGCUUUCGCGCUGUCGACCGAAGCGACGCGUUGACUGACGACGGUCGGACUCCGAUUUUCGCGCCUCUCGAAGACGGUCGUGCACUUCAAACGCAACGCAUUAAAAGUUUAAAGACAGUUGUCAUUACACAUUACGCAGAACUAAAAACUUAGUGAAAUCCUAUAGUGGUGCCAUUCCAGCGUGGACAUCUAGAAGCCAUUAACGACGCCCGCAGAAAGCCGAAAAGCAAGAAUCCCCCGAAGAUCGUAGCGCCAUAGCGGAGGCCACUGCAACAGCCUACGCGAAUGCGGGUGGUUUUGGACCUACACCCUAUCCUUAUAACGGCGGUGGUGGAAGAUGCUCGAGGCCCGGCGAGUUGUACUACUCGCGCGGCGUGGCGGGUGAAUGCCUCAUAUGCGCUUGCUUCGCUUCGAGUUACGGCCUGAUCACUUCAAAGUGCGCAUCCUGCGCAAACUGUCCAAUCCAACCGCCGCAACCUUUCCCAAUACCAGUGCCAAAUCCAUGGCCUGCGCCGGAACCAUGGCCAUCACCAGUUCCAGUUCCAACACCAAAUCCAAUUUGUAAGUAUUUUUUUCAAUAUACGGACAUCACUAAUUAUGAAUGUUAUUUAAACGGGUACAUACCACGAUAAAACGACGAGAUUUUAUUGUCGAUAUUUCGAUCCAGUUGCAUGGAUCGUGGUCACGACGGGACUCAACGUUCAAAUAACAUUCAUAAUGAACAACCACGAAAUAAGUUUAAAAACAUCACUAAUUAGUCCCAAAGGUAGCUUGUGUUAUAAACACUGUGCUAAAAUUGGUGAUUUUGACUGCGUUCGCAGUGGUAUGCGCGGUGGAUUUCGGCUGGGCCG